rnacentral:rRNA from 1 species
UUUGUUAGGAAGAAAGGGUUUCGGCUUGACCGUACCUGCAGAAAAAGGACCGGCUAACUACGUGCCCGCAGCCGCGGUAAUACGUAGGGUUCCAGCGUUGUCCGGAAUUAUUGGGCGUAAAGAGCUCGUAGGCGGUUUGUCGCGUCUGCUGUGAAAUCUGGAGGCUCAACCUCCAGCCUGCAGUGGGUACGGGCAGACUAGAGUGCGGUAGGGGAGAAUGGAAAUCCUGGUGUAGCGGUGGAAUGCGCAGAUAUCAGGAGGAACACCGAUGGCGAAGGCAGUUCUCUGGGCCGUAACUGACGCUGAGGAGCGAAAGCGUGGGGAGCGAACAGGAUUAGAUACCCUGGUAGUCCACGCCGUAAACGUUGGGCGCUAGAUGUGGGGACCUUUCCACGGUUUCCGUGUCGUAGCUAACGCAUUAAGCGCCCCGCCUGGGGAGUACGGCCGCAAGGCUAAAACUCAAAGGAAUUGACGGGGGCCCGCACAAGCGGCGGAGCAUGCGGAUUAAUUCGAUGCAACGCGAAGAACCUUACCAAGGCUUGACAUAACCGAGAACGCCGCAGAAAUGUGGAACUCUUUGGACACUCGGUUACAGGUGGUGCAUGGUUGUCGUCAGCUCGUGUCGUGAGAUGUUGGGUUAAGUCCCGCAACGAGCGCAACCCUCGUCGCAUGUUGCCAGCACGUAAUGGUGGGAACUCAUGUGAGACUGCCGGGGUCAACUCGGAGGAAGGUGGGGAUGACGUCAAAUCAUCAUGCCCCUUAUGUCUUGGGCUUCACGCAUGCUACAAUGGCCGGUACAAAGGGCUGCGAUGUCGUAAGGCGGAGCGAAUCCCAAAAAGCCGGUCUCAGUUCGGAUUGAGGUCUGCAACUCGACCUCAUGAAGUCGGAGUCGCUAGUAAUCGCAGAUCAGCAACGCUGCGGUGAAUACGUUCCCGGGCCUUGUACACACCGCCCGUCAAGUCAUGAAAGUCGGUAACACCCGAAGCCGGUGGCCUAACCCUUGUGGAGGAGCC